CGCAGCCUAACGCUCAUACAGGAGCACCAAGUACAGAACCGAAGCCAGCUGGGUCAAGAUCUACGCUACUACCAGCCAAGUGACCAGUCUGAUAGAGAUACAUCACCCUUGUGUUGCAGCUUGAAGAGCGUGUGGUCAUCCUCGGUCGUCCAAGAAUACAUAUUAUGGACUUAACACCAUGUCUGUUUAUAAUUUUCUUGUUGAUCUUCUUCCACAACCCCUUACAGCUGUGUAACUACAGUUCUGAGUGAAAUACAUGCAUAAUGACAGUUAAAUAAUGCAUGUUAGUCCCGUCUGAAAUUAUUCUUUUGUGU